rnacentral:rRNA from 1 species
UACGUAGGGGGCUAGCGUUGUCCGGAAUCAUUGGGCGUAAAGCGCGUGUAGGCGGUUCGGUAAGUCCGCUGUGAAAGUCGGGGGCUCAACCCUCGAAUGCCGGUGGAUACUGUCGGGCUAGAGUACGGAAGAGGCGAGUGGAAUUCCUGGUGUAGCGGUGGAAAUGCGCAGAUAUCAGGAGGAACACCGGUGGCGAAGGCGGUUCUCUGGGCAUUACCUGACGCUGAGGAGCGAAAGCAGUGGGAGCGAACAGG